rnacentral:rRNA from 1 species
GACGAACCGUCCAAACGUUAUUCGGAAUUACUGGGCGUAAAGGGUGCGUAGGUGGUUUCUUAAGUCAGAGGUGAAAGGCUACGGCUCAACCGUAGUAAGCUCUUGAAACUGUAAGACUUGAGUGCAGGAGAGGAGAGUGGAAUUCCUAGUGUAGCGGUGAAAUGCGUAGAGAUUAGGAAGAACACCAGUGGCGAAGGCGAUUCUCUGGACUGUAACUGACGCUGAGGCUCGAAAGCGUGGGGAGCAAACAGGAUUAGAUACCCCGGUAGUCCCUGAG